CGAUGGUUGAGCCUGGAGAGGUGUUUGACUCGUACCCUGCAGCAGUAUGAACCACUGGCCAGCUACUUCAAGUAAUCAGAUGAGAAACAACCAAGGUUCAGGAGGCUGUUGGAAGCAUUCUCUAACCCAAUGACAGAGGUGUACCUGCUCUUCUAUCAAGCAACGUUGCCAGUCUUCUCCACCUUCAACCUCCUCCUCCAGAGAGAGAAGUCCUCCAUCUUCCUUCUACAUGAUGAGUUUCUCUCGAAGUUUCUGAAGCCCGCAGCACCGGGAAUUGCAUGAAAUCCUCUAUAAGGACCCAUCAAACCAAUUGCCAGGAGAAAAGCUGGUGAUCGGCUUCACUACUCGAGCUACACUCGACAGGCUCCUUGAUGCAGGAGACAUUACACGCAGCAAGUGCAGAGGUUCCAGCAGGCAGCAGUGGCGUUUCUGGUGAGGGCUGUGGAGUAUGCCAUGAAGAAACUCCACAUGAGAGAGCCCCAGAUAAAACAUGCCAUGUUUCUGGAUGUCCAGCAGAGGGUAGAGUGUGGAGUGGAAGACGCCUUGUACUUUGUCGACAGGUUUCCUGAACUUCUCCCAUACAACGGACCUGACGAGCGUGACAAACUGAGUGAGGAGUUUCUGGACUACCAGUCCAUGGACAUUGCCAUGCCGAAGACCCAGCCACGUUCGACAUUGAGAGCUUUUCGGGGAACUUGGCAUCAAUGAAGAAUAAGGUCAGGCUUCCUGCUGAACAUGAGGGAGUAGGGGCUGAACUUGGUGGUGGGGUUGCUGGACGUUCUGAACAGAAACAGCACGGGGUCCAGGAAGUCGUCCCAUUGGCUCUGCUUCUCCGCCACCAUCUGCUCCACGGCCUCCUUCAGCUGCGAGAAGCUGCCGUCGUGCAGAGGGUUGAGCUGAGGCGGAUCCAGAGGAGACACCGCCUGCACGAUGCUCCACCUGUCGCUCAGGCGCUCGCUCACCUGCACAGAUAAUCAUGUAUCAUAUAUCUAUAUAUACAUAUAUAUUUUAAACUUUGUUUUUAUUGUUUUUGUUACAAUAAUGAACAGACAAACAAUAAGAAAGCAGACAAUUGAAAGUAGAGACACAACAUACUGACAUACACCUGAACAUCAGCAGGAGAGGACUCUUUAAAGUAGAGACACUACAUACUGAUAUACACCUGAACAUCAGCAGGAGAGGACUCUUUAAAGUAGAGACA